AUGCCCUUCUGGGCCUCCCGUGGAAGGUUCUCCUUUGCUCUUAUGCAGACCUGCCGUGAGUGGGGCGGAAGGAGCCAGAACACCUGCAUCCCAUCCCUGACCCGCUCCUGCAGGCUUGGGACCUGGGGCAAAUCAAGCCACCUCCCUGUGAGAGGAACCAAUGGUUUACAGAAAUGGUGGCUGCAGAGCCCUGCUGCUGACCUGACCUCUUCUGUGUGGCCCCAAUCUAGAUCUCUCCAUGUGGCUGAGGUACAUCUACACAGGGACCUGGGAUUGAUUUUUCCAGUGAUCAUUGGCACGUGGUUGUUUCUGAGUGAGGGGGUUGCCUCCCCCCCGGAGUGUAAACUUCUCCUGGUCAAUGAUUUCUCUCGUUUGGUGUCUUUUCCCACGAAGCAUGGUCUUGUACACAAAGGGUCAGCUGCGUGUGAGGAUGAGCCCGUACUCGAGCCUUUUAAACACGGUCUCAUCUCCCCACGAUGUUCCUCAAGGCUUAGAAUCACACAAAGCACCAGAGUUGGACCUUCUGGAUUUGAGCUGGAACACUCCUCACGUGUGCCCUCGUUGCUCCCCUCUUCAACCCAAACGUUUCAAAACCAGAGUCGUUCUGGUGGGACUGGCACCUGGAGACAGAGGACACAUGCAAGGGGCCACCCAGCUCCUGAGGGAAGACCAUACUCAUCAGCUGGGGAGGCCAGGAAGGCUAGGGUGGCAGUGGCAGAGGAGGGUGGCCCAACCUGGCAGAGGAGAGGCCAGACUCCUAUUGGUUUCCCUAUGAACUCUGGGCAGCAGGCUGGUAAGGAGGGGCCCAGUCGGUUUAUUCCUGCUCUGUGA
rnacentral:lncRNA from 12 species